rnacentral:rRNA from 1 species
UACGUAGGGGGCAAGCGUUGUCCGGAAUCAUUGGGCGUAAAGAGCGUGUAGGCGGCUCGGUAAGUCCGCUCUGAAAGCCCGGGGCUCAACCCCGGGAGGCGGGCGGAUACUGUCGAGCUAGAGUCCGGAAGAGGCGAGUGGAAUUCCUGGUGUAGCGGUGAAAUGCGCAGAUAUCAGGAGGAACACCAAUGGCGAAGGCAGCUCGCUGGGACGGCACUGACGCUGAGACGCGAAAGCGUGGGGAGCAAACGGG